rnacentral:rRNA from 1 species
AGUGGCGCACGGGUGAGUAACGCGUACACGACCUACCCUUAAGAGGUGGAUAGCCCUGGGAAACUGGGAUUAAUACACCAUGUGAUAUGGUUUAAUAAAGGGACUAUAUUAAAGCUGAGGUGCUUAAGGAUGGGUGUGCGUUAGAUUAGCUAGUUGGUAGGGUAACGGCCUACCAAGGCGACGAUCUAUAGGGGGCGUGAGAGCGUGAUCCCCCACACGGGUACUGAGACACGGACCCGACUCCUACGGGAGGCAGCAGUAAGGAAUAUUGGACAAUGGGCGAGAGCCUGAUCCAGCCAUCCCGCGUGAAGGAUGACUGCCCUAUGGGUUGUAAACUUCUUUUAGAUAGGAAGAAUAGCAUUAAUUUAUUAGUGUAUGACGGUACUAUCAGAAUAAGCACCGGCUAACUCCGUGCCAGCAGCCGCGGUAAUACGGAGGGUGCGAGCGUUAUCCGGAAUUACUGGGUUUAAAGGGUGCGUAGGCGGCUAUUUAAGUCAGAGGUGAAAGUUUGCAGCUUAACUGUAAAAUUGCCUUUGAAACUGAGUAGCUUGAAUAUAGUUGAGGUUAGCGGAAUGAGUCAUGUAGCGGUGAAAUGCAUAGAUAUGACUUAGAACACCAAUUGCGAAGGCAGCUAUCUAGGCUAUGAUUGACGCUGAGGCACGAAAGCGUGGGGAGCGAACAGGAUUAGAUACCCUGGUAGUCCACGCCCUAAACGAUGUUAACUCGAUGUUUGCGUAAAGUGAGCAUCCAAGGGAAACCGUUAAGUUAACCAC